rnacentral:rRNA from 1 species
AAUAUUGGACAAUGGGGGCAACCCUGAUCCAGCAAUGCCGCUUGUGUGAAGAAGGUCUACUGAUAAAAAAGCACUUUAAGUUGGACGGAAUGGCUUUAGGUUAAUACCCUGAAGUUUUGACGUUACCAACAGAAUAAGUACCGGCUAACUCUGUGCCAGCAGCCGCGGUAAUACAGAGGGUGCAAUCGUUAAUCGGAAUUACUGGGCGUAAAGCGCGCGUAGGUGGUUCAGUAAGAUGGGUGUGAAAUUCCCGGGCUUAACCUGGGAACUGCUUUCAUAACUGCUGAGCUAGAGUACGGUAGAGGGUAGUGGAAUUUCCUGUGUAGCGGUGAAAUGCGUAGAUAUAGGAAGGAACACCAGUGGCGAAGGCGACUACCUGGACUGAUACUGACACUGAGGUGCGAAAGCGUGGGGAGCAAA